GAUCAUGGCUCAGGACGAACGCUGGCGGCGUGCUUAACACAUGCAAGUUGAACGGUAUGACAUGGAAGCUUGCUGAAGUGUCAUAUAGUAGCGGACGGGUGAGUAAUGCAUGAGAAGCUGCCAUUGGGAGGGGGACAACAGUUGGAAACGGCUGCUAAUACCCCGUAUGCCGGAGGGUGAAAGGGAGUAAUCCGCCCGAUGAGGUGCUCAUGUCCUAUCAGCUGGUUGGUGGGUAACGGCCUACCAAGGCGACGACGGGUAGCCGGCCUGAGAGGGUGAACGGCCACACUGGAACUGAGAUACGGUCCAGACUCCUACGGGAGGCAGCAGUGGGGAAUAUUGGGCAAUGGAACCGCAAGUCUGACCCAGCAACGCCGCGUGAAGGAAGAAGGCUUUCGGGUUGUAAACUUCUUUUAACAGGGAAGAGAAGAAGACGGUACCUGUUGAAUAAGCCACGGCUAACUACGUGCCAGCCGCUGC
rnacentral:rRNA from 1 species